rnacentral:rRNA from 2 species
UUAAUUUGAGAGUUUGAUCCUGGCUCAGGACGAACGCUGGCGGCGUGCCUAAUACAUGCAAGUCGAACGAACUCUGGUAUUGAUUGGUGCUUGCAUCAUGAUUUACAUUUGAGUGAGUGGCGAACUGGUGAGUAACACGUGGGAAACCUGCCCAGAAGCGGGGGAUAACACCUGGAAACAGAUGCUAAUACCGCAUAACAACUUGGACCGCAUGGUCCGAGUUUGAAAGAUGGCUUCGGCUAUCACUUUUGGAUGGUCCCGCGGCGUAUUAGCUGGAUGGUGGGGUAACGGCUCACCAUGGCAAUGAUACGUAGCCGACCUGAGAGGGUAAUCGGCCACAUUGGGACUGAGACACGGCCCAAACUCCUACGGGAGGCAGCAGUAGGGAAUCUUCCACAAUGGACGAAAGUCUGAUGGAGCAACGCCGCGUGAGUGAAGAAGGGUUUCGGCUCGUAAAACUCUGUUGUUAAAGAAGAACAUAUCUGAGAGUAACUGUUCAGGUAUUGACGGUAUUUAACCAGAAAGCCACGGCUAACUACGUGCCAGCAGCCGCGGUAAUACGUAGGUGGCAAGCGUUGUCCGGAUUUAUUGGGCGUAAAGCGAGCGCAGGCGGUUUUUUAAGUCUGAUGUGAAAGCCUUCGGCUCAACCGAAGAAGUGCAUCGGAAACUGGGAAACUUGAGUGCAGAAGAGGACAGUGGAACUCCAUGUGUAGCGGUGAAAUGCGUAGAUAUAUGGAAGAACACCAGUGGCGAAGGCGGCUGUCUGGUCUGUAACUGACGCUGAGGCUCGAAAGUAUGGGUAGCAAACAGGAUUAGAUACCCUGGUAGUCCAUACCGUAAACGAUGAAUGCUAAGUGUUGGAGGGUUUCCGCCCUUCAGUGCUGCAGCUAACGCAUUAAGCAUUCCGCCUGGGGAGUACGGCCGCAAGGCUGAAACUCAAAGGAAUUGACGGGGGCCCGCACAAGCGGUGGAGCAUGUGGUUUAAUUCGAAGCUACGCGAAGAACCUUACCAGGUCUUGACAUACUAUGCAAAUCUAAGAGAUUAGACGUUCCCUUCGGGGACAUGGAUACAGGUGGUGCAUGGUUGUCGUCAGCUCGUGUCGUGAGAUGUUGGGUUAAGUCCCGCAACGAGCGCAACCCUUAUUAUCAGUUGCCAGCAUUAAGUUGGGCACUCUGGUGAGACUGCCGGUGACAAACCGGAGGAAGGUGGGGAUGACGUCAAAUCAUCAUGCCCUUAUGACCUGGGCUACACACGUGCUACAAUGGAUGGUACAACGAGUUGCGAACUCGCGAGAGUAAGCUAAUCUCUUAAAGCCAUUCUCAGUUCGGAUUGUAGGCUGCAACUCGCCUACAUGAAGUCGGAAUCGCUAGUAAUCGCGGAUCAGCAUGCCGCGGUGAAUACGUUCCCGGGCCUUGUACACACCGCCCGUCACACCAUGAGAGUUUGUAACACCCAAAGUCGGUGGGGUAACCUUUUAGGAACCAGCCGCCUAAGGUGGGACAGAUGAUUAGGGUGAAGUCGUAACAAGGUAGCCGUAGGAGAACCUGCGGCUGGAUCACCUCCUUUCUAAGGAA